rnacentral:rRNA from 1 species
CUCCUACUGGAGGCAGCAGUGAGGAAUAUUGGUCAAUGGACGAGAGUCUGAACCAGCCAAGUAGCGUGCAGGAAGACGGCCCUAUGGGUUGUAAACUGCUUUUAUAAGGGAAUAAAGUGAGAGUCGUGACUCUUUUUGCAUGUACCUUAUGAAUAAGGACCGGCUAAUUCCGUGCCAGCAGCCGCGGUAAUACGGAAGGUCCGGGCGUUAUCCGGAUUUAUUGGGUUUAAAGGGAGCGUAGGCCGGAGAUUAAGCGUGUUGUGAAAUGUAGACGCUCAACGUCUGCACUGCAGCGCGAACUGGUUUCCUUGAGUACGCACAAAGUGGGCGGGAUUCGUGGUGUAGCGGUGAAAUGCUUAGAUAUCACGAAGAACUCCGAUUGCGAAGGCAGCUCACUGGAGCGCAACUGACGCUGAAGCUCGAAAGUGCGGGUAUCGAACAGGAUUAGAUACCCUGGUAGUCCGCACGGUAAACGAUGGAUGCCCGCUGUUGGUCUGAAUAGGUCAGCGGCCAAGCGAAAGCAUUAAGCAUCCCACCUGGGGAGUACGCCGGCAACGGUGAAACUCAAAGGAAUUGACGGGGGCCCGCACAAGCGGAGGAACAUGUGGUUUAAUUCGAUGAUACGCGAGGAACCUUACCCGGGCUUGAAUUGCAGAGGAAGGAUUUGGAGACAAUGACGCCCUUCGGGGCCUCUGUGAAGGUGCUGCAUGGUUGUCGUCAGCUCGUGCCGUGAGGUGUCGGCUUAAGUGCCAUAACGAGCGCAACCCCUCUCCUUAGUUGCCAUCAGGUCAUGCUGGGCACUCUGGGGACACUGCCACCGUAAGGUGUGAGGAAGGUGGGGAUGACGUCAAAUCAGCACGGCCCUUACGUCCGGGGCUACACACGUGUUACAAUGGCAGGUACAGAGAGACGGUCCCUUGCAAAAUGGAUCAAAUCCUUAAAGCCUGUCUCAGUUCGGACUGGGGUCUGCAACCCGACCCCACGAAGCUGGAUUCGCUAGUAAUCGCGCAUCAGCCAUGGCGCGGUGAAUACGUUCCCGGGCCUUGUACACACCGC